CCUACGGGAGGCAGCAGUGAGGAAUAUUGGUCAAUGGACGAGAGUCUGAACCAGCCAAGUAGCGUGAAGGAUGACAGCCCUAUGGGUUGUAAACUUCUGUUAAAUGGGAAUAAAAUGUUCCACGUGUGGGAUUUUGUAUGUACCAUAAGAAUAAGGAUCGGCUAACUCCGUGCCAGCAGCCGCGGUAAUACGGAGGAUCCGAGCGUUAUCCGGAUUUAUUGGGUGUAAAGGGAGCGUAGGUGGAUUGUUAAGUCAGUUGUGAAAGUUUGCGGCUCAACCGUAAAAUUGCAGUUGAAACUGGCAGUCUUGAGUACAGUAGAGGUGAGCGGAAUUCGUGGUGUAGCGGUGAAAUGCUUAGAUAUCGCGAAGAACUCCGAUUGCGAAGGCAGUUCACUGGACUGCAACUGACACUGAGGCACGAAAGUGUGGGUAUCAAACAGGAUUAGAUACCCGUGUAGUC
rnacentral:rRNA from 1 species